GCGACACGGACGACCAUUUUUGCGGGCAGUCGUUAUAAAAAUCCGAAUAUAUUCUUCAUCGAAAAACAAAUUGUCACGGUAGACGAUCGUUUCCCCACGUUCCAGCGGAAAUCGCUGGCCCGGUUUUAGCUCAAGUUCACGCGUUGCAUAAGGGGCGAGAACGUUGCGCUGAUGCAACCAGAGAGGAUGGUUUUGUAUGCGCAGAUCCCGCGCAGGUUCAUUAAAUGGUGAUAUAGGAUGAGGUGCGUUGAGGAUGACCUUGA
rnacentral:misc_RNA from 1 species